CAUGGGGUGCAAACGUUGCUCGGAAUUAUUGGGCGUAUAGCGCGCGUAGGCGGUUACUCAAGUCGGAUGUGAAAGCCCUCGGCUUAACUGAGGAAGUGCACCCGAAACUGAGUAGCUAGAGUACUAAAGAGGGUCGCGGAAUUCCCGGUGUAGAGGUGAAAUUCGUAGAUAUCGGGAGGAACACCGGUGGCGAAGGCGGCGACCUGGGUAGAUACUGACGCUGAGGCGCGAAAGCGUGGGGAGCAAACAGGACUAGAUACCUUGGUAGUCCACGCCGUAAACGAUGGGUGCUAGAUGUUUCUGGUAUUGACUUUGGAGGCGUUGUAGCUAACGUGUUAAGCACUCUGUCUGGGGAGUACGGCCGCAAGGCUA
rnacentral:rRNA from 1 species